CAGUGCAACAUAUAAUAGGGCAC
rnacentral:miRNA from 1 species